CUUUCCUUCUCCUCCUCCUCACUUCCCAUACUCUUCCUCCCUCUCAUGAACCGUAUUUUAAUUGAGUUUUGAUUGUAUCAACCAUUCAUUAGCCUUUUCAAAGGUUGUAAAUGUAAACCAUUCAUCACGAUAAAGAAUCUGAAGUGAGGCUGGAUGUCGCCAUCUAAAUCUUAAGUUAUAUUUUGUUAAAGUUUGAAAUAUUGGUGAAAAGUCUCUUCUUUUAGCUCUAGUAAAAUAUGAAAUAUCUGGGAUGGCAAAUAUUUCUCUGAUUUUUUCUUCUGUUGGUCUGUUAUUCUUUAAUGCU